rnacentral:rRNA from 1 species
GUGAGGAAUAUUGCGCAAUGGAGGCAACUCUGACGCAGCCAUGCCGCGUGCAGGAAGAAGGCGCUACGCGUUGUAAACUGCUUUUAACCGGGAAGAAACCCCAGGACGUGUCCUGGGUCGACGGUACCGGAGGAAUAAGCACCGGCUAACUUCGUGCCAGCAGCCGCGGUAAUACGAAGGGUGCAAGCGUUAUCCGGAUUCAUUGGGUUUAAAGGGUGCGUAGGCGUAGCGUUAAGUCAGUGGUGAAAUCCUGCAGCGUAACUGUAGACUUGCCAUUGAUACUGGCGCUCUUGAGUGCGCUUGAAGUGGGCGGAAUGUGCCGUGUAGCGGUGAAAUGCUUAGAUAUGGCACAGAACACCAAUUGCGAAGGCAGCUCACUAAGGCGAUACUGACGCUGAGGCACGAAAGCGUGGGGAUCGAACAGGAUUAGAUACCCCGGUAGUCC